rnacentral:lncRNA from 1 species
AUAACGGCUUCUUAAUUUUGUCACAUAUAGUACAAAAUGUAUCUUUUAGCCGAAAAGUGUAAAUUACUCAAAGUAAAUGAUAUGCUUGAAAAAGUAGUUAAAAUUAAACAGUUAAUAUCUACAGAUACUUAUAUCGUCGACAACAUGAUUAUAGGUUCCAAAUUUGAGGUAAGUCAUUUAAACGAUGCACGGCGGUUUACAAACUUGAAAGAUAAAACAAUAAAAAAAAAAUCAAUUUAUCAGAAACGAAACAGAGAGGAAUAAGAUACAAAAUGAAAAUUCAAACUCAUAAGUCUAAAAGGAACCGACAAUGCCACUACAAAAAAAACCAAGAAGCAAACAAAAGACAAACACAUAUAUUAACAAUCCUUUCGAAAAAAAAGGCUUUAUCUCAUAAAAAUAAGCCAAGCACACCUUGGAUUUAGUGUCAAGUAAACCUUAGCUAUUCAGCUUCCCAUUGCACCAUGUGACGAAAAAAGUAUUGCCCUAGAACAUCUUUCAUUAACAUUUCCGGAAGGGUGGAGUAGGGUGUCCGACCCCAACUUUGGACUUAGUUUAAAAAGAAAAUAAGCCGAAGCACACCCUGGAGUUUUUGUCUAGUAAACUUUAGCUAUUCAACUUCCAAUUGCACCUAGUGGCGAAAAAAGUAUUGCCGUAAAACAUUUUUUAUUUACAUUUCCGUAAGGGUAGGGUAAGGUGUCCGACCCCAACUUUGGACCUAAUUAAAGAAAAAUCUAAGCCGAAUCACACCCUUGAUUUAUUGUCAAGUAAACCUUAGCUAUCCAGCUUCCCAUUGCACCAAAUGGCGAAAAAAGUAUUUCCGUAAAAUAUUUUUUAUUGACAUUUCCGUAAUGGUGGGGAGAGGUGUCCGACCCCAACUUUGGACCCAAUUUAUAAAAAAAGAAGCCAAAGCACACCCUGGAUUUUUUGUCAAGUAAACUUUAGCUAUUCAGCUAUCCAUAUCACUUAGUGGCGAAAGAAUUAUUGCCGUAGAACAUUUUUUAUUGACAUUUCUGUAAGGGUGGGGUAGGGUGUCCGACCCCAACUUUGGACCUGAUUUAAAAAAAAAUAAGCCGAAGCCCACCCCUUGAAUAAAUGACAAGUAAACCUUAGCUAUUCAGCUUCCCAUUACACCUACUGGCGAAAAAAGUAUUGCCAUAGAACAUUUUUUAUUAACAUUCCGUAAGGGAAGGGUAGGGUGUCCAACCCCAACUUUGGACCUUAAUAAAAAAAAACUAAGCCGAAGCACACCCUGAAUUUAUUGUCAAGUAAACCUUAGCUAUUCAGCUUACCAUUGCACCUAGUAGCGAAAAAAGUAUUGUAAGGGUGAGGUAGGGUGUCCGACCCCAACUUUGGACUAAUUUAAAAAGAAAAAAAGCCGAAGCACACCCGAAUUUAUUGUCAAGUAAACUGUAGCUAUUCAGGUUCCCAUUGCACCUACUGGCAAAAAAAAAGUAUUGCCGUAGAACUUUUUUAUUUACAUUUCCGUAAGGGUGGGUUAGGGUGUCCAAACCCCAACUUUGGACUUUAUUAAAAAAAUAAACUAAGCCGAAGCACACCCUUGAUUUAUUGUCACGUAAACCUAGCUAUCCAGCUUCCCAUUGCACCAAGUGGCGAAAAAAGUAUUGCCGUUCAAUAUUUUUUAUUGAUUUUUCCGUAAUGGUGGGGAGAGGUGUCCGACACGAACUUUGGACCUAAAGUAUAAACAAAAAUUAAGCCGAUGCACACCCUGGAUUUUUUGUCAUGUAAACUUUAGCGAUUCAGCUUCCCAUUGCACCUGCUGGCGAAAAAAGUAUUGCCAUAAAACAUUUUUUUUGUAACAUUUCCGUAAGGGAUGGGUAGGGUGUCCGAACCCAAAUUUGGACCUUAUUAAAAAAAAAACUAAGGCGACGCACACCCUGAAUUUAUUGUCAAGUACACUUUAGCUAUUCAGCUUCCCAUUGCACCUAGUUUCGAAAAGAGUUUUGCCGUAGAACAUUUUUAAUUAACAUUUCCGUAAGGGUGGGGUAGGGUGUCUGACCCCAACUUUGGACUUAAUUUAAAAAAAAAACUAAGCCGAAGCACACCCUUGAAUUAUUGUAAAGUAAAUCUUAACUAUUCCGCUUCCCAUUGCACCUAGUGGCGAAAAAAGUAUUGCCGUAAAACAAUUUUCAUUAACAUUUCCGUAAGUUAGGGGUAAGGUGUCCUACCCAAACUUUGGAACUUAUUUUAAAACAAAAUAAGCCGAAGCACACCCUGAAUUUUUUGUCAAAUAAACUUUAGCUAUUCAGCUUCACAGUGCCACAUAGUGGUGAAAAAAGUAUUGCCGUAGAAGAUUUUUGUUAACAUUUCCGUAAGGGUGGGGUAGGUUGAAUAACACAACCAGUGCUCCAUGUGGAUAAUGGUCUUUAUACUCUUGUUUAGCACCUUAGAUAAUUUUCAGUUUUUGAUUGGGCUCAUGUUGCUCAGUCCUUAGUUUUUGUGUUUAAAUUUUGUGUGAAAUGUUUCGUCUUUUUUUCGUUGAUCGUAUUUUUCAAUUACUUUGUCAAUUUUAUUUCGACUGUAUAUAUUUGAUAUCCCUUUUGUAUCUUUCGCCUCUAUUUUAAAUACCUAUACUGGUUUUAUGAUGAAUGUAUUUACAACCACUUGGUCGAUGCCACUGCUGGUGGAGUUUUCAUUCCACCGAGGGUAUAAUCAGCCCAGUAGUCAGCACUUCUGUGUUGACAUGAAUUAUCAUUGAUAUGGUCAUAAUUUAAAACUGUUCACAAAGCUUUGAAUGUUUGAAAAACAAAGGCUUUUUUUACUUUAAACAAUAGAUUAUCUAAGCUGUAGUUGGCAAAACUUUGAAGAUUUUUUGGUUCUUAAAGCUCUUCAACUUUGUACUUUAUAUUUACUUUUUAACAUUUCUUAUUCGAGCGUCUCUGACGAGUCUCCUGUAGACGAAACGUGUGCCUGGCGCAAAUUUGAAUUCUGGUAUCUAUGAUGAUUUUAUUUACAUAAGCUAUUGAAAGCAGCUCCCAUGACACAAUGUAUUUCUUUGAACAUUAUUUUUUCAUAUAUUAUCAAUAAAAAUUAAGAUGAGACUAACUGAAGGAAUAGCAUAAACUCUAAAAGAAAUGAGGCCGGUAACUUUGACAAUAUCAAAGUCACAGGAUCUGCAUCAUUCACUCACCAUGUGAAUCCGUAAUCAGUCAAGCAAUUUGUAUUGGGUAUAACAUUCAAUCACUAUAAUUACAUAUUAUACGACUUUGAUCAUCUAAGACAUCGAAAACAUAUCGGAAGAGAGUCGAGACACAUCCAUAUCGUAUCAUGCAACUAAUUCGUGAAGGUGAACUUGAAACUUUUAAAGUGUCGAUUUCAGUCGUUCUUUCUCAGUUGAAGCAGAUGUUGUGUAUUCUACUUUGAUACGCAGUCAGCAUAUUAACAACACCCAAAGGAUCAAGUAGAUAUGGAGCAGACCGUCCGGUGAUAAUUACACCCUUAAUAUUAUAUUGUAAACAUGAAACAAGGACGCACUGAUACGUGGGUUAUUAUGAAGUUACUGGUCAUCAUCAAUAUAUGUAAAGGUGACAUUCAAGAACCUUGAAAUUUUCUUUUUUUCAUGUUUUUAAGAUGAUUUUGCAUGACUGUUAAUUCAUUUGAAGACAAAACCGUGUCAACUUGUAGUGACGCACUUUUAGUACAUAUUGGAAUAUCCACUGUCUGCUGAAAUGAUGAUGUCAUUCUUGGUAAAAACAAAUCUGGAAUCGUUACAGUUUUUCACAAUGAUAUAUUUUCUAGGGCAUACAACAUGAUACAGUACAGCCUGUGACAUCCUCUUAGUUAUGUCCACCCUCUUGCAUGGUCAACAUCCAAUGGUGAACAUUUAUUGGGGUAUUCAAUCUUGAGAUGUUGGCCAUUUAUUGGGGGUCAUAAAACAUAGGUAGAUUUUUUAUCUCAUUAUGUUACCUGUUAAAAUCAAUCAGGGUUGAAGUUUUCAGCUGGUAUGUUUCAUUAAAAUUUACCUGUACAGGUAACUCAGGUUUCUUUUAAAAUUGACAUUUCACCUUUUUUUGAAUAUGUAGAAUAAAAUAUUGUUUUAGUCUGUUUAAUUUAUUAUUUGUUUUUUUUGUUUUAAUG